rnacentral:rRNA from 1 species
UACGGGGAGGGCAAGCGUUGUUCGGAAUUACUGGGCGUAAAGGGCUCGUAGGCGGCCAACUAAGUCAGACGUGAAAUCCCUCGGCUUAACCGGGGAACUGCGUCCGAUACUGGAUGGCUUGAGGUUGGGAGAGGGAUGCGGAAUUCCAGGUGUAGCGGUGAAAUGCGUAGAUAUCUGGAGGAACACCGGUGGCGAAGGCGGCAUCCUGGACCAAUUCUGACGCUGAGGAGCGAAAGCGUGGGGAGCAAACAGG